rnacentral:rRNA from 1 species
UGCAGAGGUCUCGAGCGUUGUUCGGAUUCAUUGGGCGUAAAGGGUGCAUAGGUGGCGUGGUAAGUCUGGUGUGAAAUCCCGGGGCUCAACCCCGGAACUGCACUGGAUACUGCCAUGCUUGAGUACUGGAGAGGAGAUUGGUAAUUUACGGUGAGCAGUGAAAUGCGUAGAUAUCGUAAGGAAGACCAGUGGCGAAAGGCGAUCUCUGGACAGUUACUGACACUGAGGCACGAAGGCCAGGGG